rnacentral:rRNA from 1 species
GACGUAGGGUCCAAGCGUUGUCCGGAUUUACUGGGCGUAAAGAGCGCGUAGGCGGUCUGUUAAGUGUAGAGUGAAAUCUCUGGGCUCACCCCAGAAACUGCUCUGCAUACUGGCAGACUUGAGGGAUGCAGAGGUUUGUGGAAUUCCUGGUGUAGCGGUGAAAUGCGUUGAUAUCAGGAGGAAGACCGGUGGCGAAGGCGGUCUGCUGGGCAGUUUCUGACACUGAGGCGCGACAGCGUGGGGAGCAAACAGG